UACGUAGGUCCCGAGCGUUGUCCGGAUUUAUUGGGCGUAAAGCGAGCGCAGGUGGUUUAUUAAGUCUGGUGUAAAAAGCAGUGGCUCAACCAUUGUAUGCAUUGGAAACUGGUAGACUUGAGUGCAGGAGAGGAGAGUGGAAUUCCAUGUGUAGCGGUGAAAUGCGUAGAUAUAUGGAGGAACACCGGUGGCGAAAGCGGCUCUCUGGCCUGUAACUGACACUGAGGCUCGAAAGCGUGGGGAGCAAACAGG
rnacentral:rRNA from 1 species